GAGACUCGUUGCUGACUGCCACCACCAGGAAACGACGCCACAAGGUGGGUGGGACGGGAAGUGAGCCCCUGAAUAAACGCUCCGACGGGGAAACUCGUGGUGGAUAACGUUCCGAGAGCACACGUGACAAGCACAAGAGGGCGACAUCGUGCCCCGUUUAAUGCAAUCUACGAAACGUCCCAGGAAUCUGAGCAGGACACGCCUCGCUGCAACAUGAUUGGCUGUUGUAUGAGGAAGUAACUUGAAGAGUUGGGAGCCAUUCCUGUUGAAGUGGUCAGUCGAACAGCCUAUCUGGACUUUUGUGACUGUGUGAUACUUUGCUUUGUCGACAGAUUGAACAUGUGACAAGUUUGUUUGGUGAGUUUUAGUGCAGACCAUAGUGACCAUGAGGUUUAAAUAAUACUUUGAACAUCUGAGACCUGAGGACUGAAGUUUUCCUGGCAGAACAUACAAACAAG